UUUUGAGGUUUUUGAGAUACAGGUCUUGGAAUUGAAACAUACUUCAUCCCCCCAUUCUCGGUUGGGUUUAAAGAAUUUCUUCCAUAGAUAGCUCAUCUAAAUAAUCUGAUAAUGUUUGCAAUUUGUUCUUUUGUAAGGACAUAGGGCAUGCAGUCUGUCUAUUUUUCUUCUUUCAUUUUAAUGAAGUUUAUCUGCUUUCACAUGCUUGAUUCUGUCAUAAAAAAAAACAGGAUUGACAAUU
rnacentral:sRNA from 1 species